rnacentral:rRNA from 1 species
GAUGCGGGAAUAGCCGUUGCGAGACAGCCAGAAGCAGAAGGUAAAAUACGAGGUACUUUAUUGCUUAGUCUAGCUUUUAUGGAAGCUUUAACAAUUUAUGGACUAGUUGUGGCACUAGCGCUUUUAUUUGCGAACCCUUUUGUUUAA